rnacentral:rRNA from 1 species
AGAUCUCCAGACGAUGACGGGUAGCCGGCCUGAGAGGGCGACCGGCCACACUGGGACUGAGACACGGCCCAGACUCCUACGGGAGGCAGCAGUGGGGAAUAUUGCACAAUGGGCGAAAGCCUGAUGCAGCGACGCCGCGUGGGGGAUGACGGCCUUCGGGUUGUAAACCUCUUUCAGUAGGGAAGAAGCGAAAGUGACGGUACCUGCAGAAGAAGCGCCGGCUAACUACGUGCCAGCAGCCGCGGUAAUACGUAGGGCGCAAGCGUUGUCCGGAAUUAUUGGGCGUAAAGAGCUCGUAGGUGGCUUGUCGCGUCUGCCGUGAAAACCCGAGGCUCAACCUCGGGCGUGCGGUGGGUACGGGCAGGCUAGAGUGUGGUAGGGGAGACUGGAACUCCUGGUGUAGCGGUGAAAUGCGCAGAUAUCAGGAAGAACACCGAUGGCGAAGGCAGGUCUCUGGGCCAUUACUGACACUGAGGAGCGAAAGCAUGGGUAGCGAACAGGAUUAGAUACCCUGGUAGUCCAUGCCGUAAACGUUGGGCACUAGAUGUGGGGGACAUUCCACGUUUUCCGCGUCGUAGCUAACGCAUUAAGUGCCCCGCCUGGGGAGUACGG